AUGCAUAAUGGGCAGUAUGUCAUAUUAGUAUGGAAAGAAAGAAGUGAUGGUUUGGGCCUUCAGGCCGAGCCCUGUCGGUUUGGGCCUUCAGGCCGAGCCCUGUCGGUUUGGGCCCUCAGGCCGAGCCCUGUCGGUUUGGGCCUUCAGGCCGAGCCCUGUCGGUUUGGGCCUUCAGGCCGAGCCCUGUCGGUUUGGGCCUUCAGGCCGAGCCCUGUCGGUUUGGCCCUUCAGGCCGAGCCCUCUCGGUUUGGGCCUUCAGGCCGAGCCCUGUCGGUUUGGCCCUUCAGGCCGAGCCCUGUCGGUUUGGGCCUUCAGGCCGAGCCCUGUCGGUUUGGGCCUUCAGGCCGAGCCCUGUCGGUUUGGCCCUUCAGGCCGAGCCCUGUCGGUUUGGCCCUUCAGGCCGAGCCCUGUCGGUUUGGCCCUUCAGGCCGAGCCCUGUCGGUUUGGCCCUUCAGGCCGAGCCCUGUCGGUUUGGCCCUUCAGGCCGAGCCCUGUCGGUUUGGCCCUUCAGGCCGAGCCCUGUCGGUUUGGCCCUUCAGGCCGAGCCCUGUCGGUUUGGGCCUUCAGGCCGAGCCCUGUCGGUUUGGGCCUUCAGGCCGAGCCCUGUCGGUUUGGGCCUUCAGGCCGAGCCCUGUCGGUUUGGGCCUUCAGGCCGAGCCCUGUCGGUUUGGCCCUUCAGGCCGAGCCCUGUCGGUUUGGGCUUUCAGGCCGAGCCCUGUCGGUUUGGGCCUUCAGGCCGAGCCCUGUCGGUUUGGCCCUUCAGGCCGAGCCCUGUCGGUUUGGCCCUUCAGGCCGAGCCCUGUCGGUUUGGGCCUUCAGGCCGAGCCCUGUCGGUUUGGGCCUUCAGGCCGAGCCCUGUCGGUUUGGCCCUUCAGGCCGAGCCCUGUCGGUUUGGGCCUUCAGGCCGAGCCCUGUCGGUUUGGCCCUUCAGGCCGAGCCCUGUCGGUUUGGCCCUUCAGGCCGAGCCCUGUCGGUUUGGCCCUUCAGGCCGAGCCCUGUCGGUUUGGGCCUUCAGGCCGAGCCCUGUCGGUUUGGGCCUUCAGGCCGAGCCCUGUCGGUUUGGGCCUUCAGGCCGAGCCCUGUCGGUUUGGGCCUUCAGGCCGAGCCCUGUCGGUUUGGCCCUUCAGGCCGAGCCCUGUCGGUUUGGCCCUUCAGGCCGAGCCCUGUCGGUUUGGGCCCUCAGGCCGAGCCCUGUCAGUGCUGUCGUGGAGUUGUUUAGAGGAGAAAUCACUACUGAGUACAAUUCCAAUAGAAGUUUGUUAA
rnacentral:lncRNA from 1 species